rnacentral:lncRNA from 1 species
GGAAAAUUCUUGCAGGGUGCCCCACACUUCCAAGAUAAAUUUAUUUCUGGUAACAAUAUUUAAAAACAAAAAAGUUGAGCAGAAAGUCGUCAUAUUCUAUGUAUAUAAUAACCAAGCAUUGAUUUUAUUUCCGAUGAUAAGGUGCAAGCCAGGUGUCAUCACUCUAUAUGAUGCGUAGAGAAAAAAUUAUCGUGUUUCACACUGAAACUUAGACAGAUUGCUAUAUCAAAAGAUGGACAGUUCUAAUUUCUGAGAUGCAUAGCUAUUAAGUGAGAAAACUGGUUAAAAAUUAAUGUCAUAGAAUCGGAAAAUGAUGUUUGCAAAUUACUAUUUCUCGUGAUAAAAAAUCUUAAUUAAGCCAUAUGACAUUGACAGCAAGCACGUGAUAGAAAUUUCAUUUUAUAACACGGAAAAAGUAAAUACAUGAACAGCUGCAAAAGUACACACGAAACAUCACAAGUUCAUCUAAAAUACACGUGGCAUUUUUCUCAGUUUCUAGGUAAAAAAUUCCACUAGACGUGGCAUGCGCUAAUUUUCAUUAAGAAUGAAACUUAUCUUACUAAACCUUAUUAGCAAUAAAUUUUGGCUAGGCUAACGACUAUUUUUUCCACAGAUUCAUUUGAUUCAGCAUUACAUCUGU